rnacentral:rRNA from 1 species
AUCUCCCCCAAGAGUUCACAUCGACGGGGAGGUUUGGCACCUCGAUGUCGGCUCAUCGCAUCCUGGGGCUGUAGUCGGUCCCAAGGGUUGGGCUGUUCGCCCAUUAAAGCGGUACGCGAGCUGGGUUCAGAACGUCGUGAGACAGUUCGGUCCCUAUCCGUCGUGGGCGUAGGAAAUUUGAGAGGAGCUGUCCUUAGUACGAGAGGACCGGGAUGGACAUACCUCUGGUGUACCAGUUGUCGUGCCAACGGCAUAGCUGGGUAGCUAUGUGUGGACGGGAUAAGUGCUGAAAGCAUCUAAGCAUGAAGCCCCCCUCAAGAUGAGAUUUCCCAACUUCGGUUAUAAGAUCCCUCAAAGAUGAUGAGGUUAAUAGGUUCGAGGUGGAAGCAUGGUGACAUGUGGAGCUGACGAAUACUAA